rnacentral:tRNA from 1 species
GCAGGCGUAGCCCCGUUGGUAGAGUGUCAGCUUCCCAAGCUGAAUGUCGUGGGUUCGAGUCCCAUCGCCCGCUCCA